rnacentral:rRNA from 1 species
GACGAACGCUGGCGGCGUGCUUAACAUAUGCCAGUCGAACGGAAAGGCCCCUUUGGGGGUACUCGAGUGGCGAACGGGUGAGUAACACGUGAGUAACCUGCCCUUGACUUCGGGAUAACUUCAGGAAACUGGGGCUAAUACCGGAUAGGAAUCCUUGCUGCAUGGUGGGGGUUGGAAAGCUUCGGCGGUUUUGGAUGGACUCGCGGCUUAUCAGCUUGUUGGUGGGGUAGUGGCUUACCAAGGCUUUGACGGGUAGCCGGCCUGAGAGGGCGACCGGCCACAUUGGGACUGAGAUACGGCCCAGACUCCUACGGGAGGCAGCAGUGGGGAAUAUUGCACAAUGGGCGGAAGCCUGAUGCAGCAACGCCGCGUGCGGGAUGACGGCCUUCGGGUUGUAAACCGCUUUCAGCAGGGGCGAAGCUUGUGGUGACGGUACCUGCAGAAGAAGCACCGGCUAACUACGUG